rnacentral:rRNA from 1 species
UCGAGAAUCUUUCACAAUGGGGGCAACCCUGACCGAGCGACGCCGCGUGCGGGAAGACGGCCUUCGGGUUGUAAACCGCUUUUCUGGGGGACGAGAGAACGGACGGUACCCCAGGAAGAAGCCUCGGCUAACUACGUGCCAGCAGCCGCGGUAAUACGUAGGAGGCGAGCGUUGUCCGGAGUUACUGGGCGUAAAGGGUGCGCAGGCGGCGGUUCGCGUGGAUAGAUGAAAUCUCCUGGCUUACCUGGGAGGAUGGUAUCCAGACGGGAUCGCUUGAGGGUCGGAGAGGGGCGUGGAAUUCCGGGUGGAGCGGUGAAAUGCGUAGAGAUCCGGAGGAACACCGACGGCGUAGGCAGCGCCCUGGACGACACCUGACGCUGAGGCACGAAAGCUGGGGGAGCGAAC